UACGUAGGUGGCAAGCGUUAUCCGGAAUUAUUGGGCGUAAAGAGCGCGCAGGUGGUUGAUUAAGUCUGAUGUGAAAGCCCACGGCUUAACCGUGGAGGGUCAUUGGAAACUGGUCGAUUUGAGUGCAGAAGAGGGAAGUGGAAUUCCAUGUGUAGCGGUGAAAUGCGUAGAGAUGUGGAGGAACACCAGUGGCGAAGGCGGCUUCCUGGUCUGUAACUGACACUGAGGCGCGAAAGCGUGGGGAGCAAACAGGAUUAGAUA
rnacentral:rRNA from 1 species